GCAGACACAUUCCAGCCAAUCAGCAGCAGACCCUCCCUCCCAGACCCUCCCGCCUCCUGGACAGCAUCCAUUUUACAUUCAUUGUGAAGCUGCAUUCUUAGUGAGCUGUCCAGAAGGUGGGAGGGUCUGGGAGGGAGGGUCUGCUGCUGAUUGGCUUGAAAGUGUCU
rnacentral:miRNA from 1 species